ACUCCUACGGGAGGCAGCAGUGGGGAAUAUUGCACAAUGGGCGCAAGCCUGAUGCAGCCAUGCCGCGUGUAUGAAGAAGGCCUUCGGGUUGUAAAGUACUUUCAGCAGUGAGGAAGGUGAGUCGUUAAGUUAAUGACGGCCUCAGCUUAGAUUCGAUUUUGAAGCCGUUUAGGCCAGUAAGGCAAGGAACGAAAGCCCGGACCCGGCUUAAACCUUCCCCGGUUGGCCCCAAGGCCAGCCCGCGGGUAAUACGGGAGGGGUUGCGAGCGUUAAUCGGAAUUACUGGGCGUAAAGCGCAUGCAGGUGGUUUGUUAAGUCAGAUGUGAAAGCCCGGGGCUCAACCUCGGAAUAGCAUUUGAAACUGGCAGACUAGAGUACUGUAGAGGGGGUAGAAUUUCAGGUGUAGCGGUG
rnacentral:rRNA from 1 species